rnacentral:rRNA from 1 species
GAUGAACGCUGGCGGCGUGCCUAAUACAUGCAAGUCGAGCGAACAGACGAGGAGCUUGCUCCUCUGACGUUAGCGGCGGACGGGUGAGUAACACGUGGAUAACCUACCUAUAAGACUGGGAUAACUUCGGGAAACCGGAGCUAAUACCGGAUAAUAUAUUGAACCGCAUGGUUCAAUAGUGAAAGACGGUUUUGCUGUCACUUAUAGAUGGAUCCGCGCCGCAUUAGCUAGUUGGUAAGGUAACGGCUUACCAAGGCAACGAUGCGUAGCCGACCUGAGAGGGUGAUCGGCCACACUGGAACUGAGACACGGUCCAGACUCCUACGGGAGGCAGCAGUAGGGAAUCUUCCGCAAUGGGCGAAAGCUUGACGGAGCAACGCCGCGGGAGUGAUGAAGGUCUUCGGAUCGUAAAAAUCUGUUAUUAGGGAAGAACAAAUGUGUAAGUAACUAUGCACGUCUGGACGGUACCUAAUCAGAAAGCCACGGCUAACUACGU